rnacentral:hammerhead_ribozyme from 1 species
ACACUACUGAGGAGUCCCACAAUAGGACGAAACGGCCGUCCGGUGU